UGAGCAAUCUGCCCUUCUCUUUGGAAUAAGCGUUGGAAACGACGUCUAAUGCCGAAUACGACCUCCUUUCGCAUGAUCGGAGGUGGAAAGCUCCGGCGGAGAAGGAUGAGCUCGCGGCCUAUCAGCUAGUUGGUGAGGUAACGGCUCACCAAGGCUUCGACGGGUAGCCGGCCUGAGAGGGCGACCGGCCACACUGGGACUGAGACACGGCCCAGACCUCCUACGGGAGG
rnacentral:rRNA from 1 species